ensembl:misc_RNA
UAGAGGCGGCGGAGACAGGAAGGAAGCCAAGACUGCGGAGUCAGGAGGCGGGAGGGGAAACCCACCCCAGCGACU